rnacentral:lncRNA from 1 species
CCUUGGACAAGUUAUAUAACUCUAAGCCCCAGCUCCCUUGUGUGUAAAGUGGAAAUAACAACCUCAUAAUGUGGAUACAAAGGUUAAAUGAGAUGAAGUACAAACGUAGCGUUGCAGUGUCUCCUACAUAAUGGCACCUAGGAUGGACGAUUAGGAAAAUCUCCCCCAACCCAUCUUCCACAUUUUCAAAAUGAGGGCAAUUACACCAAGGACAAGACUGCUGUGAGGGCUACAGAAUAAAUCACAGAAAGCCUUCGAGGUGACUGGCAUACGAUGGUACUUAUUUGCUUCCUGAAAAUAUUAGCUGUGACGAAUGGGGAGGGGCACAGGGAUGGUAUCCUUCAGCAGCGGACCCCGGGGCCCAAAGCUGAAGAGAGAAGGGCUGGGAAAAGCCAUUCCCAGGAAGAACACAGUGCUCCGAAGCACCGGGCACUGGGCUCUGGGCUCUGGGCUCUGGAUCUGCCCACAGAGCGGGAUCAGAUGCAGGCGGUUGUGAAAUGACAAAUGCAACUGAAUCUGAGUCACCUAGGAUGACGUGCAGAGUGUGUGGAUUAGGUUGGCCCUGGCUCUGGCUGCCUCUCUUUCAGGCACUUCCAACUUCACCAGAGGGCUGAGAAGAGCAAGGAGAGCAACGGGAAGGGAUUUGCUACUACUUUGCCUGUUUUCCGAGGAAGGCAUACUGGCUGUGGAGGAUCAGAAUGAUCUGGAGAGUUUUCAGGAAAAGCCAUGUCCAUCCAGACUUGAUCUGGCCCCAGGCAGAGCAGGAUACCUGAUGGUCACACAUGCAAGAGGAACCUACCGGGCAGCACUUCCAGAUGCCUCCCCCGGCUCUCCUACUGCUCCCUCAAAGCCCCGCUUCAGCUUACGAGUGCCUCGCUUUCUCCUAGCUCAAGAUGACAGAACGUUAGAAAAACAAAAAAAGGUUCCAACAAUGGCUAAAAUCAUAAAGUACAUCAAUCAGUUUCAGGUGAUGAAAAUGAGUAAUGAAGCCCUGUGAUCUGUCUAACCCACCGAAUCGACGGGGGACCCUCUACGUUUCCCCACCCUCCCAGCAGGCUCCUUUGGUCCCCAGUACAACUUUGAAAUACAUAAAGCCAUACCUAUAAAAAAAUUAAUUUCCUUCCCAGAGGACAGAGGACUCUGAACACCUAAAAGUACAAGGGAAUACUGAGUCUCUGCAGUAAUUACUAAGCCACUAAUUGUCUUUGGGGCCUGCUAUCUGGCUUCAGUCACAUCCACCCCAAUUCUGCGAGCCUUGGGGGCACAGGGCUCUCUCUCCUGCCUGCCCAUCUCAGUG